rnacentral:rRNA from 1 species
UACGGGAGGCAGCAGUGGGGAAUAUUGGACAAUGGGCGAAAGCCUGAUCCAGCAAUGCCGCGUGUGUGACGAAGGCCUUAGGGUUGUAAAGCACCUUCACCCGCGAGGAUGAUGACGGUAGCGGGAGAAGAAGCCCCGGCUAACUCCGUGCCAGCAGCCGCGGUAAUACGGAGGGGGCGAGCGUUGUUCGGAAUUACUGGGCGUAAAGGGCGUGUAGGCGGCUUCGUCAGUCAGGCGUGAAAUCCCCGGGCUUAACCUGGGACGUGCGCUUGAUACUGCGGAGCUUGAGAGCGAGAGAGGUAAGCGGAAUUCCCAGUGUAGAGGUGAAAUUCGUAGAUAUUGGGAAGAACACCAGUGGCGAAGGCGGCUUACUGGCUCGUUUCUGACGCUGAGGCGCGAAAGCGUGGGGAGCGAACAGGAUUAGAUACCCUGGUAGUCCACGCCGUAAACGAUGUGUGCCAGACGUCGGGGGUUAGGCCUUCGGUGUCGCAGCUAACGCUUUAAGCACACCGCCUGGGGAGUACGGCCGCAAGGUUAAAACUCAAAGGAAUUGAC